UACGUAGGGUGCAAGCGUUUGUCCGGAUUUACUGGGCGUAAAGGGCGUGCAGGCGGUUUGUUAAGUGCAGAGUGAAAGCUCCCGGCUCAACUGGGAGAGGUCUUUGCAUACUGGCAAACUCGAGGGAGGCAGAGGAAAGUGGAAUUCCCGGUGUAGUGGUGAUAUGCGUAGAUAUCGGGAGGAACACCUGUGGCGAAGGCGGCUUUCUGGGCCUUACCUGACGCUGAGACGCGAAAGCGUGGGGAGCGAACCGG
rnacentral:rRNA from 1 species